rnacentral:rRNA from 1 species
CUGUCUCCACCCGAGACUCAGUGAAAUUGAACUCGCUGUGAAGAUGCAGUGUACCCGCGGCAAGACGGAAAGACCCCGUGAACCUUUACUAUAGCUUGACACUGAACAUUGAGCCUUGAUGUGUAGGAUAGGUGGGAGGCUUUGAAGUGUGGACGCCAGUCUGCAUGGAGCCGACCUUGAAAUACCACCCUUUAAUGUUUGAUGUUCUAACGUUGGCCCCUAAUCGGGGUUGCGGACAGUGUCUGGUGGGUAGUUUGACUGGGGCGGUCUCCUCCUAAAGAGUAACGGAGGAGCACGAAGGUUGGCUAAUCCUGGUCGGACAUCAGGAGGUUAGUGCAAUGGCAUAAGCCAGCUUGACUGCGAGCGUGACGGCGCGAGCAGGUGCGAAAGCAGGUCAUAGUGAUCCGGUGGUUCUGAAUGGAAGGGCCAUCGCUCAACGGAUAAAAGGUACUCCGGGGAUAACAGGCUGAUACCGCCCAAGAGUUCAUAUCGACGGCGGUGUUUGGCACCUCGAUGUCGGCUCAUCACAUCCUGGGGCUGAAGUAGGUCCCAAGGGUAUGGCUGUUCGCCAUUUAAAGUGGUACGCGAGCUGGGUUUAGAACGUCGUGAGACAGUUCGGUCCCUAUCUGCCGUGGGCGCUGGAGAACUGAGGGGGGCUGCUCCUAGUACGAGAGGACCGGAGUGGACGCAUCACUGGUGUUCGGGUUGUCAUGCCAAUGGCACUGCCCGGUAGCUAAAUGCGGAAGAGAUAAGUGCUGAAAGCAUCUAAGCACGAAACUUGC